rnacentral:rRNA from 1 species
UGGGGGAUAUUGCACAAUGGGCGAAAGCCUGAUGCAGCGACGCCGCGUGGGGGAUGAAGGCCUUCGGGUUGUAAACUUCUUUUGCUCUGAACAAGGCAUGCCUUUGGGGUGUGUUGAGUGUAGGGGUUGAUUAGCGCCGGCUAACUACGUGCCAGCAGCCGCGGUAAUACGUAGGGCGCGAGCGUUGUCCGGAAUUAUUGGGCGUAAAGGGCUUGUAGGUGGCUGGUUGCGUCUGUCGUGAAAGCUCAUGGCUUAACUGUGGGUUUGCGGUGGGUACGGGCUGGCUUGAGUGCAGUAGGGGAGGCUGGAAUUCCUGGUGUAGCGGUGGAAUGCGCAGAUAUCAGGAGGAACACCGAUGGCGAAGGCAGGUCACUGGGCCGUUACUGACACUGAGGAGCGAAAGCGUGGGGAGCGAACAG